ACGGUGUUCCGCUGUCAGGAUUGUUCCAGACAUGAGCAUUUG
rfam:Pontibacillus halophilus JSM 076056 = DSM 19796 strain JSM 076056 contig4, whole genome shotgun sequence.